AUGAUGACGGGUCACUUCCUGCUGAGAGACAAUAAAAGAGACGAAUCACAGCGAGACUCAGUCAGAACCUGCAGGGCCCCAGACCUGGACCGACCCGGACCAUCAGGACCAGCUCAGACCAUCAGAUCCAUUUCAGUCCAUCAGGACCAGUUCAGACCAUCAGGACCAGUUCAGUCCAUCAGGACCAGCUCAGACCAUCAGGACCAGCUCAGUCCAUCAGGACCAGCUCAGACCAUCAGGACCAGCUCAGUCCAUCAGGACCAGCUCAGUCCAUCAGGACCAGUUCAGACCAUCAGGACCAGUUCAGUCCAUCAGGACCAGCUCAGACCAUCAGAGGACCAGUUCAGACCAUCAGGACCAGUUCAGUCCAUCAGGACCAGUUCAGACCAUCAGGACCAGUUCAGACCAUCAGGACCAGCUCAGACCAUCUGGACCAGCUCAGUCCAUCAGGACCAGUUCAGACCAUCAGGACCAGCUCAGACCAUCAGGACCAGUUCAGACCAUCAGGACCAGCUCAGUCCAUCAGGACCAGUUCAGACCAUCAGGACCAGCUCAGACCAUCAGAGGACCAGUUCAGACCAUCAGGACCAGUUCAGACCAUCAGAGGACCAGUUCAGACCAUCAGGACCAGUUCAGUCCAUCAGGACCAGUUCAGUCCAUCAGGACCGACCCAGACCAUCAGGACCAGUUCAGACCAUCAGGACCAGUUCAGACCAUCAGGACCAGCUCAGACCAUCAGGACCAGCUCAGUCCAUCAGGACCAGUUCAGACCAUCAGGACCAGCUCAGACCAUCUGGACCAGCUCAGACCAUCAGGACCAGUUCAGACCAUCAGGACCAGUUCAGUCCAUCAGGACCAGCUCAGUCCAUCAGGACCAGUUCAGUCCAUCAGGACCAGUUCAGUCCAUCAGGACCGACCCAGACCAUCAGGACCAGCUCAGUCCAUCAGGACCAGUUCAGUCCAUCAGGACCAGUUCAGUCCAUCAGGACCGACCCAGACCAUCUGGACCAGUUCAGUCCAUCAGGACCAGCUCAGUCCAUCAGGACCAGUUCAGACCAUCAGGACCAGUUCAGACCAUCAGGACCAGCUCAGACCAUCAGGACCAGCUCAGUCCAUCAGGACCAGUUCAGACCAUCUGGACCAGCUCAGUCCAUCAGGACCAGUUCAGUCCAUCAGGACCAGUUCAGACCAUCAGGACCAGUUCAGACCAUCAGGACCAGCUCAGACCAUCAGGACCAGUUCAGUCCAUCAGGACCAGUUCAGACCAUCAGGACCAGUUCAGUCCAUCAGGACCAGCUCAGACCAUCAGGACCAGCUCAGACCAUCAGGACCAGUUCAGUCCAUCAGGACCAGUUCAGACCAUCAGGACCAGUUCAGUCCAUCAGGACCAGUUCAGUCCAUCAGGACCGACCCAGACCAUCAGGACCAGCUCAGUCCAUCAGGACCAGUUCAGUCCAUCAGGACCAGUUCAGUCCAUCAGGACCGACCCAGACCAUCUGGACCAGUUCAGUCCAUCAGGACCAGCUCAGUCCAUCAGGACCAGUUCAGACCAUCAGGACCAGUUCAGACCAUCAGGACCAGUUCAGUCCAUCUGGACCAGCUCAGACCAUCAGGACCAGUUCAGACCAUCAGGACCAGCUAAGACCAUCUGGACCAGCUCAGUCCAUCAGGACCAGUUCAGACCAUCAGGACCGACCCAGACCAUCAGGACCAGUUCAGACCAUCAGGACCAGUUCAGACCAUCAGGACCGACCCAGACCAUCAGAGGACCAGUUCAGACCAUCAGGACCAGUUCAGACCAUCAGGACCAGCUCAGACCAUCAGGACCAGUUCAGACCAUCAGGACCAGCUCAGUCCAUCAGGUCCAGUUCAGACCAUCAGGACUUGGUGUGGACCAGAUCUUUGAGUGUUCCAGGAUGUGGAUUUCACUGA
rnacentral:lncRNA from 1 species